ensembl:lncRNA
GUGGGCACUGAGGACGGAUCAGAAGCGUGAGGCCUGAGAGAACAGAAUACCUGUAGCCUGGUGUGAGGCCCCCUGCCUGAGCUCAGCAACCCAGGAGGGAUGCUCAGCAGAACAGUAACCAAGACAGUGGAACUCCACCCAUCCUCCUUCUGCGGCCAGGACUGAGGUGCAUUCCCUUCGAUCAAUCUGCCUGAGUGUCUGAGACCAGGAUGCCAGUUCCAAAAGAAUCGUCAGGACAGAGUGGAGAAUUGGAAUGACCUUCACAGGGCAUCCCCCUCAACUUUCGCAUCCAAGCUGUCCAGUCCUCUCCGCGAAAACCCAACAGAAUGGAUGGAUUUUCUUCUGGUCCUGUGGGGUUUUGAUUUCUGUGAUCUGCAGGUGGCAGUGUUGCUCCACGUAUCGACAUUCUGUUUCUCCCCCGCGCUUCGCCGUUGAAAAAAGGCGACGAAGCCUUUUGCCACAACAAGUAUUGUAUAUUUUUCUCUGUUUGCACAGGUUGGCUGUUUCAAACUGCAUCUGAGCCCUUCAGACAGCCCUUUGUGGAAACUUUGAACAAACCCAUUGACACUUAAAAUUACAAUAAAAUAAUAUAAGCUGAUA